ACUAAGGUACAGGCGAGUAUCUAGAGGGAGGAAGGAAGAACGGCACACUUCCUUUGACUUGUACAUAUGCCAUUGCGAUUAAAACUACGUAAUCCUCAAACCGCCUUCUUGUGUUGUGUUACAAGAAGGGGCGGGGUUACGUAAACUUGUGCCGAGACCAGGAUCGCCUUAAGGAGCGAAGGAGAGGGACCCCAGGAAACGACUAGGAUCGAGGGAAUUGGUCCCGGGACUCGCAAAAAGGUGAUUCUUUGGGUUUUUGCAAGUACUUACGUGAGCAAAAUGGCAGAAUAUGCACAAUUCUUACAAGGGUUAGCGGGAGAAAUAACGAUGCAGUUAUCAGCAGUAACUUCAACAUUAGGGGCACAGGGAAAUGAAAUAAACGGGAGGCUAGCUGUUGUAAAUACAACGCUAAGCGCACAGGGGGUGAAUCAAGCUAUAAAAACAUUUGGGGGGAACCCGAAAGAUUUAAAAAAAUGGACCAAAUUUGUGUAGUAUCAAAAUAGGAAAAAAAAAAACAAUGGAGGUGUUUAAUUGAUUCUGGGGCUGAAGUGUUGAUAAUGCAUCGUAGGGUGUACGAUUCAAUAAAAGAUAGAUUUCCGUUAAACAAAAAGAAAGUCGCUUUACAAGGGGUCAAUGGGAAUUCGUUACAGGUAGAUGGGAAUGUGAAAGUUCACUUUAGGAUGAGAGGCGUCAAUUUUCCCAUACCUUCUAUGUUGUAGAAAACAUGAACAGAAAUCUUAUAUUAGGACACGAUUGGUUGACACAGGCAGGUGUCAGGGUGUAUUUCGACUUGGGUAGCUUAAGAGUAGGGAAUACUUAUGUACCGCUAGAGGAAGAUAUCCAUAUAUCUUCUCUAGUCAGGUUAGCAGCGGAUACAAUAGUAAAACCUCAGUGUAGAAAUAUCUUAAGGGCAAAGGUUAAAAAUAGACCAUAUUUUGACACAUUAAGCACGUAUGAAAUCUCAGCAAUUGAAAAGAGUUACCCAGCAAAUGAACCAGGUCUACUCAUAGGAAAUUCUAUUGUUAAGAUUGAUAAACAUAGGAAUGUACCAUUACUGUUAGUCAACAAUACCAACCGUACAUUUAGGUUGAAGAGAGGUUGCGUACUAGAGGAGCUCAUAAGCGUAGCGACUGAAAACUUAAUGAAUUUAUCUGAUGAAUUAGCUGAUAGGGACAUAUCCAGUGAUCUCAAUAAUGACAUUGACGCUCCAGUUCAUUUGAAAUCAAGGUUAACUGAUUUAGUGUCUCAAAACAAGGAUUCAAGUUCAGAAGAACCGACAAACAAUUAAUACAGUAAUUGAUAAUCUAUAGGAAGUAGAGGUUAAUGUAGCAAACAUCUCCCGAACUCUUGCGGGGCGUAUAGAUAAACUUGAAUGGGCCACUAACACUUAUCUCAAGAUAGAUUUAGUAAUUGAAGACCUAAGACAAACAAUACAAACAUUGAUGUCUUAUAUCAAUCACCUCCAAUUACAAUUUAAUGCUCUAUCACUCGGACACUUGUCGCCAGGCACUGUCACUCCAAGUGAAUUAUUAGUAUUAUUACGUGAAAUAAAUAUUCAUUUACCAAGUGGCUAUAAACUGGCAAAAGAUCCAGAAAAGGAAUUAUGGAAUUAUUAUCGAACAUUAACAUGCUCGACCUUAGUUUAAGAGGAAAAGAUUUUGAUAAUAAUGUAACAGUGCUAAAAUUGUUAUAUUUUAUUCUACUGUUUGUCAAAUUCGCCUUCAAUUCAUAAGUUGUCGGUUAACCAUUUAAGACCUGUCGGUACAUACUAGCGAUAAGAAAUUGUAUAACAACAUCUGGCACUUCAGAUUUACGCCGCCUGAAACAGGUCGGUGGGCGAGACUUUAAUUACAUGUUGAAUAACAACUGGUAGUGGUCAGCGCGUUUGGCACUUACCAGUGUACCGUUAUCAGCUAUUUAGCAUCAACUGACCAAACUAGAAAAUUGAAAACGCGAAACCAAACACGAGCUGAGUGAUUCUAUCGGCAUUUAUAAUCUUCUAUUACUCAACUUUCCAAACUGACCAUCUGCUUUGGCUAUUAACAGAACAAACCCAUCAUACAAAAUUGUAUAACAUGUCCAGUCUUUAUUAGUCCAAAGUCUCAAAUUUCAAACUGGACAUACACGUGUAGACUUGCUUCUAGAUUAACAAAGGAGGUUUCAGGUAUAAAUAUAGGGGGAAAUCGACUGUUAGUCAUUCCUGCUUUGCCUGAGAACCUCUCUCUGUUUGUCUUUGAAGGUGUGUUGAUCCCGUGGCUAAUUCCCCGAAAGUCAUUCUAGGUUUUGAUCAGUUUUAGUGUAAAAACUAACGCUGUUUCAAUUGGUGGAGCUUAAAUCCAAGAUGUCCGGUGCCACACCUCAGAACUACAGGGAGAAGCUUCGAAGGCCCGAGCCAAGGUCGACCCUGACCAGUUGCUUAAGCAGGUUUCAUCUCUACCAUCCUCACCGUCACUGACAACACCAUCAGCACCAAGCCAAAGGUCAUCAGUGGUUGUGACAAGAGCAGCAUCCUCCUCAUCACCAUCAUCACCACCACCAUCAAGCUCAUCCUCCUCUGCUGAAGCUGAUUGGAGUGAAAUGGCAGCUCCACAUGUCAAACUCCGUCCGUUCACUGGGCAAGAAGAGGCAACGUCCUGGUGGCAGGAUUUCCAAGAUUAAACCUCACAUUGCCUGCAUACAUCCCAACAAUAGACUCCCAGAUCAUGUCCAAGACCAAAGAUGUCAUCCUCCGGUUCCAAGCAAUGAUGUUGACACACAUCCCAGACACACAGAUGGUCUAGUCACAGCCAUAUAUCUCUGAUCAAGGCAGUUCACCAUCUACAUCUCAGUCAGGUACCGGCUUCUCACAGCAGCCAGCACCACAUCUCAAGAUGACCAAACAUAUCCUGUUGACAAGAUUCUCGAAUGCAAAGUUGUCAAUGGCACAAAACACUAUCACAUCAAAUGGUUAGGUUACUCUAAAACCACUUGGGAACCAUUCUGCAAUCUCAGUCAGGACCUAAUCCAACACUUCCAUAGAUCUAGCACCAUGUCCGGUAAAAGGCGCUAAAAAUGGGCGAAAAUACUUUAAAUAAUAUACCAAGGUUACACCAGCUCCCACCUAUCUUUGAGAAGUUUCUAACUGUUGCCUUAGAUGUUGAAUGACCACCCCUUCUUACAGUUACGUCGUUUCUGUGUCUCAUAGUGCUAGGUUGUUCAGAUGUUGCUAGCCAGAACAUUGUGCUCAACCAGGUCAUCACAUCUAAUUGUCCCAUGUUCUCUUUCGUUUCUCUAAGGUUCAUCAUGGAGUCUGAUUAUCCUGUGGCUACUCUCGUUUAGCGCCCCUUCUGUCCUCGCUUCCGGUCCAGUUCAACGUCUUAACUAUGGGGUUGUGUUUCAACCGUCAUCUCAAAUCAAUUUUGCCACAGAUUACUGGAUACACACACACGAGGUGAAGCUUCCACAUGUACCGGGCAUCCCAACCAUGAGUGGAUGUCUACACAGUAACAGAACCUGUGUCCUACUUCACCAAAUUCAAAUGCAUCUAAAUGUAAUUAAAACUAGAUGCGUUGCCCAGCUAAAUGAAACUAGACAACAAAUUAUUAAGCUAAUUCCAGCAUAAAAAAUACCUUCAUCAUCUAGAUCUAAACGCGCUAUUCUUAGUUUUGUCGGGUCUCUCUCUAAAACAUUGUUUGGUACUGCUACUACCAGUGAUGUAAACCUUCUCGCCAAACAUAUUAAUGCUCUCACAAGACAUGAUAUAAACCUUGCAAACACCAUCCAACAACACUCUGCCCAUCUCUCCUCGUUUAUGAAGCUUGUCGACUCUAGAUUUAAGAAUGCACUUAAAGGUGUCAAAGCUAAUCAUGAUGCAAUUACAUUUACAGCUAUUGCCAUGGAAAACAAUGUCAAAACAAUCCAGUCUACAUUUACUGCUCUCACCGGCCUUUUGAUUGAUCAAAUCCAACAUGCUUCCAUUAUAGAACACCAGUUGGAAGAAUUAAAGUUAGGAAUCUUAGACUUAGCCAAAAAUAAGUUAUCACCAUUGUUGGUAGCACCUGAAAUUUUAGAACAAACAAAUCAUCACCUGUCCGCAGUUUUAUCUGAUAAAUAUCCAAAUUUUCAACUAUUGCACACCACCCCUACAUUUUAUUAUUCCCAUGCUAUAUUUAUCUUUGCCCGUACUAAGUCCCAUAUCUACAUCUCAGUUAAAUUUCCACUCUCUUCAUUGGCUAAACCCCUUCAAAUGUAUAAAGUUAUCUCUUUACCUUUGCCAAUCAAUAGCACCUCCCCACAUUCUACUUGAGGUCAAAUCAGUCUUCCUCCAAGUUCCUGGCUUGAUACGAAUGCUAUUCUAGCCGUGAGCGCCUCAAUUGCAUCAGCUGUGUCUAUAAUUUUGGUUGUUUGAAUGUUUUUCAAAAUUCGAACUCUAUCAACAGCACUCAUGUUAGUCACUCGCGUUGUCCCGACCAAAGCAGUGCAACCACCAGCUCUUAAUUAUAAUGAUCAUGCCACUGCUAGUACUCCACCCACGGACUUUGUCAUCACAGAUCUUGCUGACUACCAUGUCUCAAUCCUUCUCGGUUUUAUCACACUUUUAAUUGCCUCCAUCUUGCUUAUACUCAUCUUUCAGUGCCAUUCAGGACUUCAAAAUGGCCUUGUUUUAGAACUUACUACAGGUCCUGAAUGUGUCACUGUCCCUAUUUUGUCUUUGACUCUAUGCCCUGCCUACUGGGACAUCCAGGCCCCAUACACAGUAGACAACCUUUGUGUUUCGGGAUACAUUUUUCCCACUCUGUCAGUUGAUUGGACAGGCUUUAUGGUAACAAAUAAACUUACCAGCACAUCCCUUACCGUUCCCUCAACCAUUCAGAUAUCAUUCUUUACAGCUCAAAAGCUGCAGCGACUCUUUAAACAGCCAUUCACUGCCUAUGUCCUUCUAGUUCAUAAUGGAUAUUAUAAGGUAGUGGACCCGACAUCACUUCUACCUCAAUUUUAGUUGUUGCAAUGUGUAUUUCUAUACUUAUUGAAUGUACAUAUGAGAUUUGGGCAUUCUGAACAGUACGUAUCAUUGUUGUCAUGUGCUUAGAUGUGAUCAUAUCUUAUGCUUGUACACUUCGACUCUAAUUACCAUUAUUUUACCUGAUGUUACUUCAAGCUUUUGAGGUCAAAAGCUCCACGACGCCCAGGGAUAUUGUAACAGUGCUAAAAUUGUUAUAUUUUAUUCAACUUUUUGUCAAAUUCGCCUUCAAUUCAUAAGUUGUCGGUUAACCAUUUAAGACCUGUCGGUACAUACUAGCGAUAAGAAAUUGUAUAACAACAUCUGGCACUUCAGAUUUACGCUGCCUGAAACAGGUCGGUGGGCGAGACUUUAAUUACAUGUUGAAUAACAACUGGUAGUGGUCAGCGCGUUUGGCACUUACCAGUGUACCGUUAUCAGCUAUUUAGCGUCAACUGACCAAACUAGAAAAUUGAAAACGCGAAACCAAACACGAGCUGAGUGAUUCUAUCGGCAUUUAUAAUCUUCUAUUACUCAACUUUCCAAACUGACCAUCUGCUUUGGCUAUUAACAGAACAAACCCAUCAUACAAAAUUGUAUAACAUGUCCAGUCUUUAUUAGUCCAAAGUCUCAAAUUUCAAACUGGACAUGCACGUGUAGACCUGCCUUCAGAUUAACAAAGGAGGUCUCAGGUAUAAAUAUAGGGGGAAAUCUAGACUAACAUAUAGUCUCUGAAAUGAACAUAUCGUACAGAAAAAAACAGUUGUUCAGUUAUCUUACUAAAAAUCUAAUAAAAAGGGAGCCCAGUGAUUCUCUUCAUUUUCAGAUACUGCAGUAAUCUAGACUUGCCAAACAUUAUAGACUUGCAUGGGCUGUAGUUGAUAUAAAUGUAUCAGGGUCUGUAAGACAGACUAGGGGAAAUCGACUGUUAGUCAUUCCUUCCCAGCUACCUCAUAUGCCAAACGUUUCCGAUAUGCUGUUAUGGAAACCCUUUCAGGAAAAAUUUAGAAAUGUGACGAUAUCGAAAGUUCCAAACCACCUCCAGAAUAUAGAUACAGUAUCCAUGAGUCAUUUAAUUGAUGAAUUACAUAGUGUUAAUACUGAAAUUAGUUGGGAAAAGAAAAUUAACUGGAAAUGGUGGUUAGUUGGGGGUAUCAUGUUACUAGUCAUAAUAUUAUUGAUAAUGGUUUUAAGAUAUAGAAACUUUUGGCUAUCCAAAAUGCUCACUUGGGGAAAGCACACCUGGGAAACACCCGAAUUCGAGUUGGUGGGAUCUGAUGUGAUCCAGGUCGCGAGUACCGACUCCAGGAGCGGCUUAGCUUCUGCACCACUGAUGACGGGGGAUCAGACUUCGGCGCCGACAACGACGUCAUCAAUACGACGCCUGUACCCUGGCCUGGAUGCCCACUACUAAACAGUACAGUGUUGCGGUAUGUUGCUGCAUGAACUAAGAUGAACAGGCUGGUGACGAAGAUGGACGGCGGCCAUAUUGGAACUUGUGGUGACGACCAUAAAGUUGAACUAAGUUGAAAAGAAGAACACAACGCAGAACUGACAAUCACAGAUGACCAUAAUGGUGUGUCUGUAGCCGGUCGAGGGCCAAGAUUGUGAUUAAGUGACAUUUUAAAAGCGAUUAAGUCCGGUCACGGACAGCAUGAUCGUUGUAAAAUAUUUACACUCUAUUUUGUAUAUGUAUAUAUGGAACUGUGUAUAUUUUUAAGAUCGACUUAUGAGGCCUGGAAAUAUCAACAAUAUUUCCAAGUAGAAAGGGGCGGAUGUAACACUAUCAGUGUUUGCCAGAUACGACUGACACCGUGGAUAUGUCAAGUACAUAUCAAGUGGACCAGUGAGUGGUGGUUUCAUGUCACCUUAAGGGGAACAAUUUUAAGUGCCUCGUCAUGGACACCACUUGAUGGUCAAUUUAAUCUCAAGUUGACCACACCAAAUUUUAGUACCUGUGCAAAACAAAAUGCUUCGCAUUCCAUCAUUACUAUAUAUACCGGGCGACUUCCAAAUACCGUUAGACUUGGUCUCAGCACCCUAAGGUACAGGCGAGUAUCUAGAGGGAGGAAGGAAGGACGGCACACUUCCUUUGACUUGUACAUAUUCCAUUGUGAUUAAAACUACGUAAUCCUCAAACCGCCUUCUUGUGUUGUGUUACAUGUAUCGGCUUUAAGAAUUUUUACCCACCUCAACCCUACACUGUGAUAUACCACCAUAAAUGGUCUUAUUGAAAUAACCGUCCCCCCCCUUAUGGUAACCCAUGUUUAAGUUACAGUACCCUGUUUAGAGUCAAUACGUUAGUAUGUACUCUGAAAAUAAUGUUUACCCCAUCCGACAUCCGACUGUAUGAAUGGACGAGACACGCGUUGUACUGAUUGACCUGAAUGAAAGGACAACGAAUAAACGAACACUGCCUAAAUGAUCAUCAGGAACAAUUUAAAAUUACAUAUUUAAAGACGAUGAAAAGAAGAAGAAUGUACUCGAAGUUUACUACGCUCAUCAAUGAAAACCUACAUGCCGUAGAAUAUAGCACUCGAACAGAGUUGUGGCGAUAUGUACUCGAAUAAAAAUACUUUCAUUUAAUGAUAGCAGAAAUUGCUUGAACGGUUACGCGAAAGCCGAAGGUCCUAAGGAGUGGAUAACAACACUUUUAAAAUAUCACACUGAUACGCUACAUGAGGAUGGUGGUGGUGUCGAUAUAAGAGUAUGUCAUACGUUGAAAUAUGCUGUGUUUUAUGGUUGAACAGUCAUUUGUUUCUGAUUCUCUGUGAACGAGUGUUUACAUGAAUAAAAUACGCUGUUUAUCACUC
rnacentral:lncRNA from 1 species